UAUGCACUGGCUUUACUGAUUCCUCCUUCUUGACGAACCGUGAUGUCAUUAAUUUGGUGUUGCGGGAAAUCAGGACUGUUACUUUGAAAAAAUUAGAGUGUUUAAAGCAGGCUAGCGCUUGAAUACAUUAGCAUGGAAUAAUGAAAUAGGACGUUAAUCCUAUUUUGUUGGUUUCUAGGAUCGACGUAAUGAUUAAUAGGGAUAGUUGGGGGCAUUAGUAUUCAAUUGUCAGAGGUGAAAUUCUUGGAUUUAUUGAAGACUAACUACUGCGAAAGCAUUUGCCAAGGAUGUUUUCAUUAAUCAAGAACGAAAGUUAGGGGAUCGAAGACGAUCAGAUACCGUCGUAGUCUUAACCAUAAACUAUGCCGACUAGGGAUCGGAUGAUGUUAAUUCUUUAAUGACUCAUUCGGCGCCUUACG
rnacentral:rRNA from 1 species